ensembl:lncRNA
GGAAUAAUGUCAGUGACUUUUAUUAAUAUGUUCUUUCGGGGCGACGAUGCAGUCCUCAUUGUUAACUGAACGAAGCCAGAGACGUCCAGCCAUCGCCGCCACAGCGGGGGCUGACCAGUCCCAGCCGGUUUGACCAGAGAGCAGACUUCUCUAACAACAAGAUGGCCUCCGUGUCGCCAGAAACCUCUGCAGGCAGCGUGUCAGCGGGUCUGAAGAACGGGUCGGGACACCAGCGCUCGGACCAGCAGGAGCCCCAGGACCCCGACGGGGAGCCUCUGUCCGUGAAGGAGCGGCUGGCCAUGUAUCAAGCGGCGCUCAAGAAGGAGACCGGCGCCGCCACUUCCUGUGUGGCGGUGAUGGAGGAGUCGGAGGCCUGCUCGCUGCCCGGUGGGCUGGCCAGCGUGAAGAGGCAAUUUGAGAGUCAGCAGUUUGCCUCUUCCUCGUCCUCUUCCUCCCACUCCCACAGCACCGUCACCCAGCACCAGUACCAGCAGAGAUCAGUGCAGGCGAUGUCCGCCUCCUCUGAGACGCUGGUGAGGAGCAGCGAUGUCAACCAGACCUCCUCCUUUCAGAACCAACAGGAGAUAAUGAUCCAUUCGCUGUUAACGAUAAACAAAUGACACAAACCAUCA